rnacentral:other from 1 species
AGUCAUCUGAGUUGUUCGUAAGUUUGCUUUUUAAUUUGGGCCUAACACUCUUUGAUCAAGGGAGCCCAAUGGGUUUUCUUGCAGCGUACAGGCCUUAUAUGAAGGACGUACAAAACAAGAAACAGGGCACCCACCUGUAUAUAACAGGCCGAAUGAUCAAGCUAUUAUAACUACGGCAAUACGGACUCUAU